AGGACGAACGCUGGCGGCGCGCUUAACACAUGCAAGUCGAGCGAGAACCGAAGCCUUCGGGCCUCGGGGACAGCGGCGAACGGGUGAGUAACACGUGGGUAAUCUGCCCUUGGUACCGGGAUAGCCCGGGGAAACUCGGAUUAAUACCGGAUGGCCCAGCAGCUCCUCGGAGCGGUUGGAAAAGGUAGCUUCGGCCUCCGACCAAGGACGAGCCCGCGGCGGAUUAGCUUGUUGGUGGGGUAACGGCCUACCAAGGCGACGAUCCGUAGCUGGUCUGAGAGGACGAUCAGCCACACUGGGACUGAGACACGGCCCAGACUCCUACGGGAGGCAGCAGUAGGGAAUCUUGCGCAAUGGGCGAAAGCCUGACGCAGCAACGCCGCGUGAGGGAUGAAGGCUCUAGGGUUGUAAACCUCUUUCAAGUGGGGACGAUAAUGACGGUACCGCAGAAGAAGCUCCGGCCAACUACGUGCCAGCAGCCGC
rnacentral:rRNA from 1 species